rnacentral:tRNA from 1 species
CCUGUCGUGGCUUAGCGGUAAAGCAUCGGUGCGUAAACCCAACGGUCCCGGGUUCGAUUCCCGGCGAUGGCG